rnacentral:rRNA from 1 species
AGUGAACGCUGGCGGCAGGCCUAAUACAUGCAAGUCGAACGGCAGCACAGUGGAGCUUGCUCCAUGGGUGGCGAGUGGCGGACGGGUGAGGAAUACAUGGGAAUCUGCCCAGUCGUGGGGGAUAACGUAGGGAAACUUACGCUAAUACCGCAUGCGCCCUUCGGGGAAAGCCGGGGACCGUAAGGCCUGGCGCGAUUGGAUGAGCCCAUGUCGGAUUAGCUAGUUGGCGGGGUAAAGGCCCACCAAGGCGACGAUCCGUAGCUGGUCUGAGAGGAUGAUCAGCCACACUGGAACUGAGACACGGUCCAGACUCCUACGGGAGGCAGCAGUAGGGAAUAUUGGACAAUGGGCGCAAGCCUGAUCCAGCCAUGCCGCGUGAGUGAAGAAGGCCCUCGGGUUGUAAAGCUCUUUUGUCCGGAAAGAAAAGACGCCGGGUAAUACCCUGGUGUCCUGACGGUACCGGAAGAAUAAGCACCGGCUAACUUCCGUGCCAGCAGCCGCGGUAAU